GACCCAACAACCCUGCUCUGAACCUGCCUUUGUGUUUCCCUGCCUGCAUCUAACCCAGCUCUGUUACUCCCUCAAGGUUGCUGUCAGCAGUCCUGCUCUGGAUAACCCUCCGUGGUUCUGGUUGUUCUCCCUGUUGGCUGUCAGCAAACCCGUUCCUGGAUAACCGCUGGUGCUAGCCUCCCGCUCAUGGUGAAUACUUCAUUGAAUUCAGUCCCGCCCAAGGACCGCUCUGGAUCCACCAGAUCUAAUUCAAGACUCGCUCCUCGCUUCACCUGCUCUGCCUGUCCACCCUCCAACAUCGUACAUCAUCUGGAGGAAUCCGCUCACACGACACGCUUGCCGGCCAACCUCAGCCUCUGUGGCUUGCUCAUCUCGCCCCAGACUCUCCACCUUCUCCCACAAUGAACCGUUUCCUGAAGCCAACCGGCUACGGAUUCCUGACGCUGCUCAGAAACAUCACUUUCAAUAAACCUGUUUAACCUCUUAACCUUACUUAAACAUAGACAUGUGUAGUAUCCUCUGAAACAUCAGACUCUUGGCUAAAAGCUGAUAUAAACUUUUUCUACAAACACCAACGACAGUUAAAACUACAAGCAGUUGAAUCAGAAAAAUGCAGAAAGUAAAUGCACUCUACGAAAUGGAUUCACCGGACGUCUCGGCCUCUGCUUCCUGAUUUCUGAAGAUUGAUGUGAAAGAUGUGGAGAUAACUUUAUUCUAGUGGCUCUAAGGCGGAAAAGGAGGGGACAUUUGUGCAAUUCAGCCAAUCCAAACUCGAGUUAUUGGCCGAGUUAUUGUAGGUUGUUAGUAUAAACACUGAGCACGCUGUACCGCAAGGCACAGUUGCUACAGCUGUUACGCAACGGACCUUCCUACCUCUGGCUGUUUAUGUGAUGUGGUUAUCAUUUUGCGUGUUCGAGUGUUUGUUUUUGAAACACAAUGGCUUCCCACACAAAGUUGUACACCUUCGCUGAAGCUUUGGACCUAAUUACAAUGGACUGCGGUAGUGAAGUCUGUGUAGAGGAUUUCUCAUCUGAAGACGAAGAGCUUAUUUAUCCCGACAAGGUCAAUGAUGAGCUAGAUUAUGCAGUUCUGCUGCUUGAAAGGUAAGUAAUUUUAGUUUUAUUGCAAAAUACUUUUAAAGAUUGAUUUUUCUUUUUACACUAGUGCUUCGUGAUGUCCCGUAAUAAAUGGAUUUGUAAGCCACACAGUAGAAGAUAGUACUGAAAUGUUUGCAUCUGUAAUUAGCCCCGACUCCCCCACCUGCCCGGUAAACGAAGGUGUUGUGAACACAUACAUUCAUUCCUAGUUGUCAAUAAAUUGAUAUUUUUUUUAGCGAUGCUGUUAUAUAUUUUAUAUAUUAUAUUUUAUUGCGAAGAUUGAUUUUUUUUUUUUUUUUACACUGGUGCUUCCUGUUCAAUAAAUAUGCUCCACUAUGAU